UUGAUAAGUAGAUCCGUCGCUGUUUGCUUGAAGGAGCAGACAGAGGAACUUCCCGACUCUCAGUUCCGGGGUUAAGCCGGAGCAAGGUUGCCUCGCGAAACCGUAAGCGAGGGCAGAACGCUGUAAAGUGUUUCUGACUACAACCGCAACAGAAAGUAUGUCAGCCCAAUCCGGGUGAUGAGUGAAACGGUAGGGUAAAAGCCUACCAGCGGUAUCCGGUAACGGUACCGGCUGGGCGAGCGUGCAACCGGGAGCAAGGUGAGUGGGCCGGGCCAUGUGUUCGGUCUCAUCGCAGCGGUGAAGGUUGAGCAGAGUAACACUCUGCCGGCCAAAAACUGCCAGGUUUUUGAACCUGAGAUAGAUGACGGUUAAAACAGAAUCGGGGGUACGCGCUUAUCAAAAAU
rnacentral:RNase_P_RNA from 1 species